UUUGGUAUCUCAAAUAGAUUCUUAUUCAUACUUAAUAGUAUUCAAAUGUCGAAACAAUCGAGUAAAAAACGGAUUAAAACUUCAUCUUUAAAAAAAAAAAUUUAUUUUUAUAUUGCUUUAAGCGUCUCUGCUUUUCAUAUAAUAACAAGAUUUUACUUUAACUUGUCUCAUUUAUCACUGUUCUCGUUGUUGUCGUCCAUCUUCACAUUACUCAUUGCGUAUUUCACAUAUAAAUCUAUUGCAUCCUCUUUGGAGCUUGGAGUUUCGUAUAGUUAUUAUCUAGAUAUAUUUAUAAUAAACAUACUAACACAACUCUGUACCCCUAUUUCUGUUUAUGGUUGGUUGUUUUAUGUUUUACCCCCUGGAUAUGUUUUAUACAAAGUAUCAGCACUGCUUUGCACUCUUUUUAUUUCAAAUACCGCAUAACACUUUUUGAAAAUCCAUAUUGAAUGAAAAUGCAGUGUUGUAAACUUAUUGCCAUUAAAAUAUCUAAAAUUUCGUUUAAAAGCAUCCCUUCCUUUGCCCUAUUUUGUUACCUUCGUAUCAAGAAGAC